AGCAGCCGCGGUAAUUCCAGCUCCAAUAGCGUAUAUUAAAGUUGUUGCAGUUAAAAAGCUCGUAGUUGAAUUUCGGGGUUAGCAGGUUGGUCGUGCCACUGGUAUGUACUGGUCUUGCUGAUUCCUCCCUCUUGAUGAGCCGUAAUGCCAUUAAUUUGGUGUUGCGGGGAAUCAGGACUGUUACUUUGAAAAAAUUAGAGUGUUUAAAGCAGGCAAGCGCUUGAAUACAUUAGCAUGGAAUAAUGAAAUAGGACGUUCGAUCCUAUUUUGUUGGUUUCUAGGAUUGACGUAAUGAUUAAUAGGGAUAGUUGGGGGCAUUAGUAUUCAAUUGUCAGAGGUGAAAUUCUUGGAUUUAUUGAAGACUAACUACUGCGAAAGCAUUUGCCAAGGAUGUUUUCAUUAAUCAAGAACGAAAGUUAGGGGAUCGAAGACGAUCAAAUACCGUCGUAGUCUUAACCAUAAACUAUGCCGACUAGGGAUCGGAUGAUGUUAAUUUUUUAAUGUACUCAUUCGGCGUACC
rnacentral:rRNA from 1 species